rnacentral:rRNA from 1 species
GGCGCUCGCCGACCAACGGUGGUGUAAAAACCUCUCGGAGGCACGUCGCGGGCGCCCUUGCAAUCCUGAGGCACUCACGGACCCUGCGCACGGCAGUGCUCAUGACGCGACCCCAGGUCAGGCGGGAUCACCCGCUGAGCUUAAGCAUAUCAAUAGC